rnacentral:rRNA from 1 species
GACGAACGCUGGCGGCGUGCCUAAUACAUGCAAGUCGAACGCUGAAGCGAGGAGCUUGCUCUUCUUGGAUGAGUUGCGAACGGGUGAGUAACGCGUAGGUAACCUGCCUUGUAGCGGGGGAUAACUAUUGGAAACGAUAGCUAAUACCGCAUAACAAUGGAUGACACAUGUCAUUUAUUUGAAAGGGGCAAUUGCUCCACUACAAGAUGGACCUGCGUUGUAUUAGCUAGUAGGUGAGGUAACGGCUCACCUAGGCGACGAUACAUAGCCGACCUGAGAGGGUGAUCGGCCACACUGGGACUGAGACACGGCCCAGACUCCUACGGGAGGCAGCAGUAGGGAAUCUUCGGCAAUGGGGGCAACCCUGACCGAGCAACGCCGCGUGAGUGAAGAAGGUUUUCGGAUCGUAAAGCUCUGUUGUAAGUCAAGAACGAGUGUGAGAGUGGAAAGUUUACACUGUGACGGUAGCUUACCAGAAAGGGACGGCUAACUACGUG